rnacentral:rRNA from 1 species
AAAGGGUGCGUAGGCGGGUCUUUAAGUCAGAGGUGAAAUCCUGGAGCUCAACUCCAGAACUGCCUUUGAUACUGAGGAUCUUGAGUUCGGGAGAGGUGAGUGGAACUGCGAGUGUAGAGGUGAAAUUCGUAGAUAUUCGCAAGAACACCAGUGGCGAAGGCGGCUCACUGGCCCGAUACUGACGCUGAGGCACGAAAGCGUGGGGAGCAAACAGGAUUAGAUACCCUUGU